GUCAGGAGGCUGACCUGGACCAUGCCAUGUGUGGUGAAGCAUGUUUAACAUGUUCGCACACUUGUGUGCCGCGGAACAGCGGCUGGGAAUCACUGGAUUGGAGCACAGUUAUGGGGCGAAUCUGUUUUGGCUUGAUGUAAAUCCUGUCCGCUGGUGGGACUCGGCCUCUCUGGCUUUUCGUCUGAGAUUUACAGCUUGACCAUUUAUUUACUGAUAAACACUACUUCACCUAAGAGACUUGAGUAUCCAGUUCUUCAUUGACCUUCAGCAUUCAGUUGUUUGUCUUCACCUUUUCAGGUUUCCUGUGUCCAGCAUCUUCAAGACAGACUAAGCUAACUUUUGAUAUUUUUUGCACAUUUAUAUUUAGGUUAGGAAUAGGUUAGGUUUAUAGUAGAGUAUUUAGUUUGUAUAGUUUAGCUUUUUAUGCUGGUCUAGGGACAGUUAAGUUAGCAAAUUAAUUUAGUUAAGAUCACUUACAAUUGCAUAUUAUUGU